rnacentral:rRNA from 1 species
AGCAGCCGCGGUAAUUCCAGCUCCAAUAGCGUAUAUUAAAGUUGUUGCAGUUAAAAAGCUCGUAGUUGAAUUUCGGGUUAGUAGGCUGGUCGUGCCACCGGUACGUACUGGUCUUACUGAUUCCUCCUUCCUGAUGAACUGUAAUGCCAUUAAUUUGGUGUUGCAGGGAAUCUGGACUGUUACUUUGAAAAAAUUAGAGUGUUUAAAGCAGGCUAACGCUUGAAUACAUUAGCAUGGAAUAAUGAAAUAGGACGUUCGAUCCUAUUUUGUUGGUUUCUAGGAUUGACGUAAUGAUUAAUAGGGAUAGUUGGGGGCAUUAGUAUUCAAUUGUCAGAGGUGAAAUUCUUGGAUUUAUUGAAGACUAACUACUGCGAAAGCAUUUGCCAAGGAUGUUUUCAUUAAUCAAGAACGAAAGUUAGGGAUCGAAGACGAUCAGAUACCGUCGUAGUC